AGUUUGAGCGGUCUUUUUUAACGUGUACAUCUUGCGUUUCCGAUACGGCAAAUGCAGAUGGACAGGCGCUGAGGGAAAAAGACAACUGAGUUUUUCUCGUCCUUCUUUCAAAAAUAGAGCGGUCAAAGAAAAAGUCUAAAUCACGCAAUUCUCAGUCGCCUAAAACACAGCUUGGCGUCUAUAGCUCCCCCGUUAUACGCGGCGCAUCUUUAUAUUUGGCUUUUGUCUAUUUUUUUCUCUCUUGCAUAUAGCGUAAAUAAAGCUUUCCUAUCUUAUUUUUGUAUUAAGCACCGGGCACAUAAAUUGUCCGAUUAGAGGUAAGUAUUUCUUUACGGUAAACCAGUAUAGUCGGUAUAUGCUUACAAAUUUCUUCCCAUCGCUAUGGUUUUUUUCACUGAGUUUAACAUGGGCAUGGGCAUCCUCUUCCUACUUCUGGCUGCAUUGGCCAUAAUUGUUCUAUAUUAUGUUUAUGUGAAGUACUAUAAAAAAGACCACGGUAGCAGCUCGUCGUCGAUGGCUACUCCUCCUGUUGUUGUUCAAGAAGUGCCGCAGCCUCAGCCUACAUCACCUGCGCAACAGCACCCGCUCGACCAACAAACAACUUUCUUAUAUGAUGCGAAUCCGCCGCCUUACACUGUCUAUCCACAACCGGGCCCUCAAUACGUAGACCAAACACAGGUCACGCAAUUUGGAUGGCCGUACCCAGGUAUGCAAACACCAGUUCCCUAUGAUGGCGCUCAACCCUACUCUGCACAAAUGAUGCCAGCUCAGUAUCCUAUGCAAAUGCCUGUGCAACUCGAAGGACAACAACAAGUACCUGUGCAAUUCGAAGGACAACAACAAGUACCUGUGCAAUUCGAAGGACAACAACAAGUACCUGUGCAAUUCGAAGGACAACAACAGGCGCCUGUUCAACUCGAAGGACAACAACAAGCGCCUGUUCAACUCGAAGGACAACAACAAGCGCCUGUUCAAUUCGAAGGACAACGACGAGAGCAGACAACUGUGCAAGCUUCCCCUCCUCCCCCCCGUGUGUCUGGUUAGUGAGACCGAGAUUCCUGGAUGGCCAUUGAGCAUCCCUUUUAUCUGAGUAAAUAGGGAUUGUGUAUGACGCUUAUCACGUCUAUGCCCCUUUCGUGUAUAUUUACAUAUUUCACUUUAUUAGAUUUUUGUGGUGCCAGAUAAUGCGUCACAAGUCAUGUUAGCUCA